CCCUACUGCUAUCGGGGUGGGACUAAGACAUGCGAGUUGUGCGUCUCUUAGCUAUGGUAGAGACGCAGCGUACGGCUCAGUAACACGUGGCUAACCUACCCUUAGGACGGGGACAACCCCGGGAAACUGGGGCUAAUACCCGAUAGGUGAGGAGGCCUGGAAUGGUUCCUAGUCGAAAAGGCGUUGAAACCAUGCUUUUCGACGUCGCCUAAGGAUGGGGCCGCGUCCGAUCAGGUUGUUGGUGGGGUAACGGCUCACCAAGCCUUUAACCGGUACGGGCCGUGAGAGCGGGAGCCCGGAGAUGGGCACUGAGACAAGGGCCCAGGCCCUACGGGGCGCAGCAGUCGCGAAAACUCCGCAAUGCGCGAAAGCGUGACGGGGCUACCCCGAGUGCCGUCCGCUGAGGAUGGCUUUUCCCCGGUGUAAUGAGCCGGGGGAAUAAGGAGAGGGCAAGUCUGGUGUCAGCCGCCGCGGUAAUACCAGCUCUCCGAGUGGUAGGGACGAUUAUUGGGCUUAAAGCGUCCGUAGCCGGCUUAGCAAGUCUCCUGUUAAAUUCAGCGACCUAAUCGUUGAGCCGCGGGAGAUACUACUAGGCUAGGAGGCGGAAGAGGCCGACGGUAUUCUCGGGGUAGGGGUGAAAUCCUAUAAUCCCGGGAGGACCACCAGUGGCGAAGGCUGUCGGCUAGAACGCGCUCGACGGUGAGGGACGAAAGCUGGGGGAGCGAACCGGAUUAGAUACCCGGGUAGUCCCAGCCGUAAACGAUGCGGGCUAGGUGUUGGGGUGGCUACGAGCUGCUCCAGUGCCGCAGAGAAGUUAUUAAGCCUGCCGCCUGGGGAGUACGGCCGCAAGGCUGAAACUUAAAGGAAUUGGCGGGGGAGCACCACAAGGGGUGAAGGCUGCGGUUU
rnacentral:rRNA from 1 species